CCGGGGCACUAUCUCCUCACCAUAGGCCGGAUACACAAACACACACGGUUCCUGCGACCCGUUGUUGCUAACUCACAGCUAGCUUAUGCUAACGUCUGUACUGUUGCUACUUUGGCUGUUUGGGGGCGAAUAAACAAACGACCCCGCGGUCACAUUCACCGGAAUGAUGCUAGGAGAAAACUACGCAUCGCUGUGAGAAGGAAUAUGGCGUUUGAUAUCGGUUUUAUUAGUGUUUCUGCAAAUAGACGGUUGCAGGUGGACUGGUGUUUACAUGGUCCGUGGGAGCUGGAAGUCCGCAGUCAGCUGUGUGGCGGCUGCAGAUCUGCAGCCUCAAUGGAUGUCAUCUGGGAAGAAGAGGAGGAGGAGGAGCCUUGUAGAGACCAGCUGAAGGAACAUCUUCUCUGAGCUGAAGCUCUGAGAUGAGUGCAGAGUUUCCGGACCACAACGGAGAAGUUCCUUCACUCCAUUCAUGCCGCCUUCUCUCCGUACUCACUGUAUACUCAUAGUAUUGUAUGUCAUGAAAUAAUUUUAUAAAAAAGUAAGUAAUAGUACGUAUUAUGUCAAAAAAAAGCUCAGAAAAGUCAUAAGUAAUGUCAACGAGUGUUAUUACAUAGUUAUUACAUUGUUAUAACACUGUUAUAACAUGUAUUAUGACCAAAAUCUAUCAAAAAGUAAAAGAAAAAUGUCAAAAAGUGUUAUUACACAGUUAUACACAGGCUAUGCCAUAAAAGUGGACGUAAAUUAUUUUUUCGUCCAUAAAAAAAGAAUUCUAAAUUAUUUUUUUUUUUAAAUCUAAAAGUUUUUUUCUUAAAAUUAUAAUGCUCUCUACCUUUCUCCUACUCUGGUCUCUUCCUGUCUGUGAGUUGUCCUACUCUGGUCUAUUCCUUUCCACUAAUACCUGCCUGUCCUUGUCUUAACACUCUCCUACUAUCUUCUUGCCUGCACUUCCUUUCCUAACCUCUCUUUCCUAUCUGGGGGGGCCUAUCUAAGUGUUUGCACAUACGUUGGCAACGAGCCGGUCUUGAACACUCGACCCUGGGCGCCUUAGAGUUGAGCACAAACCAACUUUGCUACCUACGCAAGUACGCAUGGGACAGUUCUCUGGGUGUAUUUGUCUUUGUCAUUCUGGGUGUAAAGCUCAAAAUAAACUGACUCUUCUUGUAUUGGAACCCAUGACCUUUGUGUUUUCCAACCAGCGUUCCAUCACACUGAGCUAUUAGAUCAGAUCAGCAAGUAUAUGGUUACUUGUGUAUUUGUCUUUGUCAUUCUGGGUGUAAAACUCAAAAUAAAUUGCCUAAUUCUG